rnacentral:rRNA from 1 species
GACGAACGCUGGCGGCGUGCCUAAUACAUGCAAGUCGAGCGGAACUGGGGGAGCUUGCUCCUUCCAGUUUAGCGGCGGACGGGUGAGUAACACGUGGGCAACCUGCCCUGCAGAUCGGGAUAGCUCCGGGAAACCGGUGCUAAUACCGAAUAGUUUGGCGCCUCUCCUGAGGCGCUACGGAAAGACGGUUUCGGCUGUCACUGCAGGAUGGGCCCGCGGCGCAUUAGCUAGUUGGUGGGGUAACGGCCCACCAAGGCGACGAUGCGUAGCCGACCUGAGAGGGUGACCGGCCACACUGGGACUGAGACACGGCCCAGACUCCUACGGGAGGCAGCAGUAGGGAAUCUUCCGCAAUGGACGCAAGUCUGACGGAGCAACGCCGCGUGAGUGACGAAGGUUUUCGGAUCGUAAAACUCUGUUGUGAGGGAAGAACACGUACCAACUAUCUAUUGGUACCUUGACGGUACCUCACCAGAAAGCCACGGCUAACUACGUGCCAGCAGCCGCGGUAA